AGCCCCUCCCAACUGGACCUCUCCUGGGACAGCAUGUGCUCUGCAUGGAAUAACAAGGUUAAAUGGACAAGGCUGAAUGGCCCUGUGAUGGGGAGUGCCUUUAAGCCACAUGACGGAAAUGAAACAGGAGCCAUAAUGACCAUGACUGGAGGAGAAUCAGAUUCUGGCCUGGCCUGGUUCUGUGAGAUACCUUAAAUCAUACUUUCUGUAGCAUCCCUUAAAGGUGGGUAGAGAGAAGGAGAGAGUUAAGUGUGGGUGCAGUCAUCCUCAGGAUGGUUGAUCUCUAAAUCUAUUCUUGGGCAAAAGUUUAGAGAAAAGCUGAAUCACUCAGCCCAGAGGAAGCCUGAGGAGGCAUAAAGAAGUCUUGGAAAUCCCCUGAAAAAAAGAAUCAGAUAUCACCUCCAUAGGAAGCUGUCUCUCUGCUUUAGAGCAAGAAUCAACAAACUUUUUCUGUAAAGAGCCAGAUACUGUAGGCUAACCCAAGAAGAAUAAAGCAUCGGCUUCCCUGACAUGCUGCUCCCCCCAAAACAGAGUGCCAAUAUGAUUCCAAGGUUCUUAGCACACUGUAUAUUACCUCACUCCUCCUACAGCUGGAGCCUCUUUGUACCUGGUCCUAUUUUCCUCCUUCUCCAGAGACAACUGUGCUCAUGAUUUUGGUAUGUAUCUGACUUCUAGUAUGUGCUUCCAUACUUUGACUACACAGGUAUUUAUCCCUAAACAAGUGUUGCUAUUGUAUGUUUUUAAACUUACUUAAAUGGCACUGUAAUGUAUACAUCAGUCUGUAACUUUGAUUUUUCAUUUAGUAUUAUGAUUUUGAGAUUUAUCUUUACACACAGAUCUAAUUGUUCAUUUCAUCUAGUUCACUCAUUCUAGGAGACAAAGACACAUGUAGAGUAUUUCUUUAAGUAAAUAUUCUCCUAUGGAUGGCCCAAUUAAAAUGUACAGUAUUCUAUAAGUUAUCAGCUUAGCUACUGUCACUUGCUGGAAGCUUUUUCUAUUUCUGUCUUUCUCUCACCAUUAGAGUGUAGUAGAGGCCCUUCCUCUUCCUGGUCCCCUGUGCUCAUGUGUGUUAUAGACUCCACCACAUAUUGUUGAAAAAUGUCCUCCUUUGCCUUAGACUGUGGACUCAUCAACAUCAGGGACCUGUAAUCUGUUCAUAAUGUUCAUGGUGUAGCCCCCAGGUCAGUGCUGUGCAGGAGACAAUGCUGGCACAUUUUGAUGAACAGAUGAAUAAAUGAUUCUAUGUCAUGGAGUAAGCUAUGUCAGUGAUUUAUUGAUGUAGCUUAAAAUCAA
rnacentral:lncRNA from 1 species